rnacentral:ncRNA from 2 species
UGGCCCUGCCGUCACUGGCGCGGAUGGGUCACCAUCGGGGAGCGGCACACCGAAUCGCGCGCGCAUCGCCCGCCUGGGUGCGCCGC